GGCCAAGCUACAAAGGGCGUAUGGGGGAUGUCUUGGCAUCAGAAGGCGAUGAAGGGCGUGGAAGUCUGCGAAAAGCUCGGGGGAGUUGACAACAAUGAUGAUCCCGAGAUCCCUGAAUUGACAUGCGAUGAAUACAUAGUCGUAUGUGGCUAACCCAGGAACUGAAACAUCUAAGUACCUGGUGGAAGAGAAAGAAAAAUCGAUUUCGUCAGUAGCGGCGAGCGAAAGCGAAAGAGCCCAAACCGCGGAGGUUUCCUCUGCGGGGUUGUAGGGCUUCUCACAUGAGAGUUACAAAACUGCCGACUAGCAGAACGACUUGGAAAGGUCGACCACAGAGGGUGACAGUCCCGUAAGUGAAAGGUGAGCAGUCUCUCGAGGAGUACCUGAGUAGGUCGAGCCACGUGGAAUCUCGACUGAAUCUACGGGGACCAUCCCGUAAGGCUAAAUACUCUCUAAU
rnacentral:ncRNA from 1 species